rnacentral:rRNA from 1 species
CCGGCCUGAGAGGGUGAACGGACACACUGGAACUGAGACACGGUCCAGACUCCUACGGGAGGCAGCAGUAGGGAAUAUUGCUCAAUGGGCGCAAGCCUGAAGCAGCAACGCCGCGUGGAGGAUGAAGGUUUUAGGAUUGUAAACUCCUUUUGUGAGAGAAGAUAAUGACGGUAUCUCACGAAUAAGCACCGGCUAACUCCGUGCCAGCAGCCGCGGUAAUACGGAGGGUGCAAGCGUUACUCGGAAUCACUGGGCGUAAAGAGUGCGUAGGCGGGGUUGUAAGUCAGAUGUGAAAUCCUAUGGCUUAACCAUAGAACUGCAUUUGAAACUACAACUCUGGAGUGUGGGAGAGGUAGGUGGA